AACUUUUAACAAUGGAUCUCUUGGUUCUGGCAUCGAUGAAGAACGCAGCGAAAUGCGAUAAGUAAUGUGAAUUGCAGAAUUCAGCGAAUCAUCGAAUCUUUGAACGCACAUUGCGCCUCCGGGUAUUCCUGGAGGCAUGCCUGUUCGAGCGUCGUUAAAGACCAUGAGGCUUUGCCUUGCGAUGAGCUCCUGGCGCUCUCUCUUUGGAGAAGCCAGUUGCUUCAAACUGAUUGGCGCCUGAAGUCGGCCGAAGCACAGCGAAAUGCGUUCCGGGCCUGGGGGAAGGACUGCCUGGACCGCAGUCAUAUGUUGGUUGCCUUAGGAGCAGGAAAGAUUCCCCGCUGAACUUAAGCAUAUAACUACGAGGAGGCU
rnacentral:misc_RNA from 1 species